CCACUAUAUAAAAGUGUCAGAAAAGUGUCCUUGAAUUUUCUGUUUGAUUGUGGUAACCCAGAUUGAAUUGGGGGCAAAACAA
rnacentral:snoRNA from 1 species